ACUGCGAAAAAUGUCGCCGUAACGGACAUACUACUGCAGCCUGUUGGUUUGGUGCUGGGACAUCGCGACCGCAAUUAAAUCAGAAUUUGGGGAUCAGCACUGGAGAACAGCAAAACAAGGACCGUGGGACACGGCCUACACAGGAUGGCCGAGUGUUAUCAAGUAUUCAAUAGUCGCUCAACGAUUAUGACGUAGUUAACAUUAAUUGUUAUGAUAUAGCUUAGUAAUUACAUAUUGUAUUAAUUUCUUAAAUCAAUAAUUAUUAUUCUUAUUUAUAAUUAUAUUCGUUUAACAUUAUAGAUGUAAGUUAAUCAAUAAUUAGCUUUGAUUUGACACAUCGAUAAAAUUGUAUAAAAAGGGUAGAUAAUCAUUUUAAGCAUUCUUUAUUAUUCGACUUGUUAACAACGUUACGCUGUUCAAAAAUAUAGACAGAUUGUGGUAAUCGCCUUGGC